rnacentral:tRNA from 1 species
UAGAAGGUGGUGUAUUGGGAGCACAUAGAGUUUUGAUCUCUAUAGGAUGGGUUCGAAUCCCCUCUUUCUAA